rnacentral:rRNA from 1 species
AUUGAACGCUGGCGGCAGGCCUAACACAUGCAAGUCGAGCGGAUGAAGGGAGCUUGCUCCUGGAUUCAGCGGCGGACGGGUGAGUAAUGCCUAGGAAUCUGCCUGGUAGUGGGGGAUAACGUCCGGAAACGGGCGCUAAUACCGCAUACGUCCUGAGGGAGAAAGUGGGGGAUCUUCGGACCUCACGCUAUCAGAUGAGCCUAGGUCGGAUUAGCUAGUUGGUGGGGUAAGGGCCUACCAAGGCGACGAUCCGUAACUGGUCUGAGAGGAUGAUCAGUCACACUGGAACUGAGACACGGUCCAGACUCCUACGGGAGGCAGCAGUGGGGAAUAUUGGACAAUGGGCGAAAGCCUGAUCCAGCCAUGCCGCGUGUGUGAAGAAGGUCUUCGGAUUGUAAAGCACUUUAAGUUGGGAGGAAGGGCAGUAAGUUAAUACCUUGCUGUUUUGACGGUACCAACAGAAUAAGCACCGGCUAACUUCGUG